GGGAAUUGGAGGAAGAAGUAUUUGUGACAUUACCGCUAGGCUUUUGUAAGGAGGAAGAAAAAUGUCUAGUAUGCAAGCUAAAGAAAUCACUAUAUGGACUCAAACAAUCACCAAGAGCAUGGUUUGAUAGAUUUGCAAAAGUGUUGAAAAAUCAAGGAUAUCGCCAAGGGCAGUCAGAUCACACUAUGUUCCUGCGGCAGUUUGUAGAUGGUACUAAAACUAUUCUGAUCGUAUACGUUGAUGAUAUCAUUCUGACAGGAGACAACAGAACAGAAAUGGAAAGACUAAAAAUAAGUCUUGCCACUGAAUUUGAAGUAAAGGACUUGGGAAAAAUGCGAUAUUUUCUGGGAAUGGAAGUUGCGAGAUCAAGACGAGGGAUCAGUGUAUCACAACGGAAAUAUGUUCUUGAUCUUCUAAAUGAAACUGGCAUGCUAGGAUGUAAACCAAGUGAUACACCCAUAGAUAUUGGAAGGAAAAAUGGCAAUGAAGGAAAUCCUGUAGACAUAGAAAGAUAUCAAAGAUUGGUUGGAAAACUGAUUUACCUAUCACACACCAGGCCUGACAUAGCAUUUGCGGUUAGUUUGGUAAGUCAGCACAUGCACUCUCCAAAGGAAAGUCACUUAGAAGCUGUCUAUAAGAUACUGAGAUAUCUCAAGGGCUCCUCAGGAAGGGGGCUAUUCUUCAAAAAGGAUGAAAGAAAAGGAGUGGAAGUCUUCACAGACGCAGAUUGGGCCGGAUCAACAGAUGAUAGGAGAUCUACUACAGGUUACUGCACAUUUGUAUGGGGAAAUCUAGUAACCUGGAGGAGCAAGAAACAAAACGUAGUUGCCAGAAGUAGCGCCGAAGCUGAAUUCAGAGCAGUUGCGCAAGGAAUAUGUGAAGGACUAUGGUUAAAGAUGCUCCUAGAAGAACUAUAUGUCACAAUAAGGCCACCAAUCAAACUUUAUUGUGACAACAAAGCAGCUAUCAACAUCUCUCUUAAUCCAGUUCAACAUGAUCGAACAAAACACGUAGAGGUAAACAGACACUUUAUCAAAGAAAAAGUUGAGGAAGGAACCAUUUGCAUGACCUAUGUUCCUACACAAGAACAAACUGCAGAAAUCUUCACCAAGGGACUAUCAAGACAGAAAUUUGAUGAUUUCAUUUUCAAGUUGGAUAUGAU
rnacentral:lncRNA from 1 species